UUACGGGAGGCAGCAGUGGGGAAUAUUGCACAAUGGGCGCAAGCCUGAUGCAGCGACGCCGCGUGAGGGAUGACGGCCUUCGGGUUGUAAACCUCUUUCAGUACCGACGAAGCGGAAGUGACGGUAGGUACAGAAGAAGCACCGGCCAACUACGUGCCAGCAGCCGCGGUAAUACGUAGGGUGCGAGCGUUGUCCGGAAUUACUGGGCGUAAAGAGCUCGUAGGUGGUUUGUCGCGUUGUUCGUGAAAACCUGAGGCUUAACCUUGGGCGUGCGGGCGAUACGGGCAGACUGGAGUACUGCAGGGGAGACUGGAAUUCCUGGUGUAGCGGUGGAAUGCGCAGAUAUCAGGAGGAACACCGGUGGCGAAGGCGGGUCUCUGGGCAGUAACUGACGCUGAGGAGCGAAAGCGUGGGGAGCGAACAGGAUUAGAUACCCCGGUAGG
rnacentral:rRNA from 1 species